CCUACGGGAGGCAGCAGUGAGGAAUAUUGGUCAAUGGCCGGAAGGCUGAACCAGCCAUGCCGCGUGAAGGUCAGUGCCCUAUGGGCGUUAAACUUCUUUUGUGCGGGAGCAAUAAUGGACACGUGUGGCCAGACGAGAGUACCGUACGAAUAAGCAUCGGCUAACUCCGUGCCAGCAGCCGCGGUAAUACGGGGGAUGCAAGCGUUAUCCGGAUUUAUUGGGUUUAAAGGGUGCGUAGGCGGUGAGGUAAGUCAGCGGGGAAAUGCCCCCGCUCAACGGGGUGAAGUGCCAUUGAUACUGCCUUGCUGGAAUGCGGAUGCCGUGGGAGGAAUGUGUGGUGUAGCGGUGAAAUGCAUAGAUAUCACACAGAACACCGAUUGCGAAGGCAUCUCACGAAUCCGCGAUUGACGCUGAUGCACGAAAGCGUGGGUAUCAAACAGGAUUAGAUACCCCUGUAGUC
rnacentral:rRNA from 1 species